GUGAAUCAUCAAAUCUUUGAACGCAAAUUGCACUCUCCGGUUUUCCGGGAGAGGAUGCCUUGUUGAUGGUCAGCCUAGCGAAAAUCUACGUUUUUGCUGUUAUUUAAUGAUGGCGGUUGGCGGAGGAUGGGUUAGCUUAAACCUUUGUUUUUUUUUUUAGGUUUAAGCGACUUCAAAUUUUGUUACUGG
rnacentral:misc_RNA from 1 species